ensembl:rRNA 5_8S_rRNA 5.8S ribosomal RNA
AACUCUUAGCGGUGGAUUACUUGGCUUGUGCGUCGAUGAAGAACGCAGCCAACUGUGAGAACUAAUGUGAAUUGCAGGACACAUUGAUCAACAUUUCGAACGCACAUUGCGGCCCCGGGUCCAUCCCGGGGCUACGCCUGUCUGAGGGUCA